rnacentral:rRNA from 1 species
AUGAAGCCGGAAUUGCUAGUAAUGGCAGGUCAGCAUACUGCCGUGAAUACGUUCCCGGGCCUUGUACACACCGCCCGUCACACCAUGAGAGUUGGGGAUACCCAAAGCCCGUGAGCCAACUUAUAGAGGCAGCGGUCUAAGGUAGAAUCAAUGAUUGGGGUGAAGUCGUAACAAGGUAGC